AUUGAACGCUGGCGGCAUGCUUUACACAUGCAAGUCGAACGGUAACAGGCCGCAAGGUGCUGACGAGUGGCGAACGGGUGAGUAAUGCAUCGGAACGUGCCCAGUCGUGGGGGAUAACGCAGCGAAAGCUGCGCUAAUACCGCAUACGAUCUGUGGAUGAAAGCGGGGGACCGAAAGGCCUCGCGCGAUUGGAGCGGCCGAUGUCAGAUUAGGUAGUUGGUGGGGUAAAGGCCCACCAAGCCAACGAUCUGUAGCUGGUCUGAGAGGACGACCAGCCACACUGGGACUGAGACACGGCCCAGACUCCUACGGGAGGCAGCAGUGGGGAAUUUUGGACAAUGGGCGCAAGCCUGAUCCAGCAAUGCCGCGUGCAGGAAGAAGGCCUUCGGGUUGUAAACUGCUUUUGUACGGAACGAAACGGCUCUGGUUAAUACCUGGGGCUAAUGACGGUACCGUAAGAAUAAGCACCGGCUAACUACGUGCCAGCAGCCGCCGUAACAC
rnacentral:rRNA from 1 species